rnacentral:rRNA from 1 species
AAUAGAUACCCGGGUAGUCCACGCCGUAAACGAUGAGUGCUAAGUGUUAGGAGGUUUCCGCCCCUUAGUGCUGCAGCUAACGCAUUAAGCACUCCGCCUGGGGAGUACGGUCGCAAGACUGAAACUCAAAGGAAUUGACGGGGGCCCGCACAAGCGGUGGAGCAUGUGGUUUAAUUCGAAGCAACGCGAAGAACCUUACCAGGUCUUGACAUCCCAUUGGCCACUAUGGAGACAUAGUUUUCCCUUCGGGGACAACGGUGACAGGUGGUGCAUGGUUGUCGUCAGCUCGUGUCGUGAGAUGUUGGGUUAAGUCCCGCAACGAGCGCAACCCUUGUUCUUAGUUGCCAUCAUUUAGUUGGGCACUCUAAGGAGACUGCCGGUGACAAACCGGAGGAAGGUGGGGAUGACGUCAAAUCAUCAUGCCCCUUAUGACCUGGGCUACACACGUGCUACAAUGGACGGUACAAACGGUUGCCAACCCGCGAGGGGAGCUAAUCCGAUAAAACCGUUCUCAGUUCGGAUUGUAGGCUGCAACUCGCCUACA